GUGGGGAAUCUUGCGCAAUGGGCGAAAGCCUGACGCAGCCAUGCCGCGUGAAUGAUGAAGGUCUUAGGAUUGUAAAAUUCUUUCACCGGGGACGAUAAUGACGGUACCCGGAGAAGAAGCCCCGGCUAACUUCGUGCCAGCAGCCGCGGUAAUACGAAGGGGGCUAGCGUUGCUCGGAAUUACUGGGCGUAAAGGGCGCGUAGGCGGACAGCUUAGUCAGAGGUGAAAGCCCAGGGCUCAACCUUGGAAUUGCCUUUGAUACUGGCUGUCUUGAGUUUGGGAGAGGUGAGUGGAACUCCGAGUGUAGAGGUGAAAUUCGUAGAUAUUCGGAAGAACACCAGUGGCGAAGGCGACUCACUGGCCCGUUACUGACGCUGAGGCGCGAAAGCGUGGGGAGCAAACAGGAUUAGAUACCCUGGUAGUCC
rnacentral:rRNA from 1 species